rnacentral:misc_RNA from 1 species
GAUGAAGAACGUAGCGAAAUGCGAUAAGUAAUGUGAAUUGCAGAAUUCAGUGAAUCAUCGAAUCUUUGAACGCACAUUGCGCCCGCCAGUAUUCUGGCGGGCAUGCCUGUUCGAGCGUCAUUUCAACCCUCAAGACCCCUUCGGGGGACUUGGUGUUGGGGACCGGCACAGGGGCCUGCCUGCUUGUCUUGCAGCGCCCUCGCCGCCCCCGAAAUGAAUUGGCGGCCUCGUCGCGGCCUCCCCUGCGUAGUAGCACAAACCUCGCAACGGGAACGUGACGGCGGCCACUGCCGUAAAACAACCCAAUUUUAUUAGAGUUGACCUCGAAUCAGGUAGGAAUACCCGCUGAACUUAAGCAUAUCAAUAAGCGGAGGA